GCGAAAAUAUCUUAAUGGUAAAGAUUUACCUUGCCAUGGUAAAAGAUGCGAGUUCAAUUCUCGUUUUUCGCU
rnacentral:tRNA from 1 species